rnacentral:rRNA from 1 species
AUUGAACGCUGGCGGCAGGCCUAACACAUGCAAGUCGAGCGAGCGGCGGACGGGUGAGUAAUGUAUGGGGAACUGCCCGAUAGAGGGGGAUAACUAGUGGAAACGGUGGCUAAUACCGCAUACGAUCGGAUGGACCCAUAUUGGAUUGGCUAGUAGGUGGGGUAAAGGCUCACCUAGGCGACGAUCCCUAGCUGGUCUGAGAGGAUGAUCAGCCACACUGGGACUGAGACACGGCCCAGACUCCUACGGGAGGCAGCAGUGGGGAAUAUUGCACAAUGGGCGAAAGCCUGAUGCAGCCAUGCCGCGUGUAUGAAGAAGGCCUUAGGGUUGUAAAGCACUUUUAGCGGGGAGGCGUUACCCGCAGAAGAAGCACCGGCUAACUCCGUGCCAGCAGCCGCGGUAAUUC